GGGAAGUUUACAUACACUUAGGUUGGAGUCAUUAAAACUAGUUUACAUACACUUAGGUUGGAGUCAUUAAAACUAGUUUACAUACACUUAGGUUGGAGUCAUAAAAACUAGUUUACAUACACUUAGGUUGGAGUCAUAAAAACUAGUUUACAUACACUUAGGUUGGAGUCAUUAAAACUAGUUUACAUACACUUAGG